rnacentral:rRNA from 1 species
GACGAACGCUGGCGGCGUGCCUAAUGCAUGCAAGUCGCACGCAGAGAGCUUGCUCUCUGAGUGGCGCACGGCUGAGGAUCACGUGGGAACAUGCCUCCUUGUGGGGGACAACACCGCGAA